UACGUAGGGUGCAAGCGUUAAUCGGAAUUACUGGGCGUAAAGCGUGCGCAGGCGGUUUUGUAAGACAGAGGUGAAGUCCCCGGGCUCAACCUGGGAACUGCCUUUGUGACUGCAAGGCUUGAGUGCGGCAGAGGGGGAUGGAAUUCCGCGUGUAGCAGUGAAAUGCGUAGAUAUGCGGAGGAACACCGAUGGCGAAGGCAAUCCCCUGGGCCUGCACUGACGCUCAUGCACGAAAGCGUGGGGAGCAAACAGG
rnacentral:rRNA from 1 species